UCACACUAACUAAGAUGGCUUCUUUUUUCUCAUACUUGCUUGUGUUUUUCUUUGCAUUUCUGAUUCUCAUCCCUCAAGGCUUUGGUAAUGCUCCUAACCAUAAUAAACAUUUACAUCAUCCAUCAUCAACAUAUGUACAUCCUACCACCUUACCCAAACCAACUUACCCUGCCAGUACCAACAUUCCAAAAAAGCAUCCUCACCACCCUCCAAAAGAAGAUAACACUCAUUUCUAAAGUAUGAAAUGAGAGUUAUGAAAUAUAUAUGUACUGAAUAAGUGGUUCUAGUUACCAAGCUGUUUGUUUUCUAUAUAGUAAUAUGUACUCUCCUACUUGGCAACUGUGGGUGGGGUGUUUUUGUGUUUUGUGUGUGUACGUGUCAUGAAUAAAAAUUACUUGACAAGAAAGAGUGCUAUGUACUGCAGAUUAUAAAUAUUUUUAUUUGUGACACCAGAUUAUAAUAAAUAAAUAUUAUGAUUGUGUGAGAUUGAUAGGUUUAAUUGAUUUAUAUAUAUCGAGCAAUUUCAGACCGUAAAUAAGUCUAUAAUAUAAUACUAGUUAUUGCUAAUACUACCUUUUACGUAAACCUUGCUCUUCCUAAAAAUAAAAUAAUAUCAGUCAAACAAUAAAAGUGUGAAGAAACUUGUGAGCAAUUACAUGACGAUGUUGAUUAAUAUCCUCGCAAGCUCCUUUUUUGUGGAUGUUGAUACUCUCAUUUUUUGUGAGAAAUCUUGGUCUACAAUUACAACUAUCAAAGCCAGGCUUUUCCUUUUUAAAUUAAUUUCAGGCCUUAAAGUUAACUUUCAUAAAUGUUUGUUAUUUAGUGUUAAUAUAUCUCUUAUUUGGUUGAAAAUUGAUGUCGGCACAUUGAAAAAGGUUGAAAACACUGGUAAAAGACGUAAAUACCCCGUCGACAGUUAAUUACCGAGGAAAACAACCGACGGCAGUUAACUACUGAGGAAAACUUCGACAGUAAAUUACCGUCGAUUCGAUCCUGAGCAUAUGCAAAACAGAAGCAUCAGUUUUCCCAUUUCAUCUUUUCUCCAAAACUUCUCAAAAUUCACUCCAAUUAAGUUUUGGACGAAAUUCAACUUAAUUAUCUCCAUUUUAUCACAAGUAAGUAGGUUUAAUAAUUUUUAAUCAUAAUGUCAGUUUGUGUAGGUUUUUUUUUAAGUUUUGUAGUUUGCAUGCUGUUAGGGUUGAUGUAGGAAUUGAUAUUUUGAUGAUUGCAUGUAGUUUAUAAAUGAAUGUAGCUGUUGUAAUUGAUGUUCGAACGUGUUUUAAGUACAGUAUGUUUUGAAUGGUGUCAAAUGAAGAUAAUUUGAAUACUUUUGAUACUUUGCACACAAAGUGUUUGACAAAAUGCCCAAAUGAAAAUUUUAUUGAUUAUUUAGUUAGUUUAUAUUAUGCGAAUUAUAUUGAUUAUUUAAUUUGAUAAAACAACAAGAAUCAUUCAAUAAUAUCUCCCUCUCCAACAAGUCGGCCCUAGUUUUCUCUCUCUAGGUUUUUUCUUACUGUUUCUUCAUUGAGGGGUGGUUUUGGGUCAAUUCUUGACCUAAAAUCACCCAUCUUCAUCUUUUUCUCUCUAUUUCAAUCUAAAUAAGUGAUUUUCAGAUAAAUCUAGCUUUUUUUCUUUGUGAUUUCAUCAUCUAAGUGUGGUGGUUUGUUUUUCAUCGUCUUGUGCGGCGUUGUUUCAUUUCCCGUCUUCGUGCGGUGUUCAUUUGAUUUAUAUUGAAAGAUCCAUUAUUCAAACAAAGAUUUGGGCGUCAACAUUGCAGAUCCGGAGGCCAUGGAUAUUCCGGUCACUUUAAUUUUAUCAUAUAUUUUUCUAGGCAUUAUGCUGUUAUAUGCUAUUAACUUGGAUGAUGCAUGUUUGUUCAUAGAUUCAUCCUUUACGUUUUUAGCAGUGUUGAAUGAUGUAAUCUCUCGAUUUGAAUGAAUGAAUAUCAUUUUGUUUUUGUCAAAAAAAAAAAGAUAUUUGUUUGAUCUUAAUAUAUAUAAAUGUUAAACAUUCUGAUAAGUUUCCCUAAUUAAUUCCGCCUUUUUGGGUGGAUGUGAGUAAUUUUUAUGAAAAAAAUUAGUUUGCAAGGAAUCAAACCAGGUACCAUAUGCUCACACUUUACAACUACAACCGCUAUGCCACUUCUAUUUUUGUAGAAAUAUUGUUGCUUCUAAAAAAGAAAUACAUGACUAAAACAUUUUUUUUAAAUCCCGAACCGCCCUAACAGUUUCCUCUCUCAUAUCAGUUAUUUUUUAUUAUUAGCAGUACCUUUAUUGAUAGUAGUGAUCUUUUUCAGUAUGCUUACUACGUUUUACGAUAUUAAAGUUGUAUCUUUAAAAUUGUAGAUAAUUUGACUGAUCCAGAUGAUAAUUUUAUCAUUAGAAACUUCACUUUUUCCUUUAAUUUUGCUGGCCUCUUUGUUUCUCCAAUAUUAUAUUACUUGAAGUUGUAUAUUCUAACUUUUUAUUUGCAAAAAUCACUACAGUAGACUAUAACAUUACUUUGUUUUGGCAAAGUAAGGACUUCGAUUCCUUAUUCAUUUUUGUUAAUUUCCAUUAUUUAUAAGGCGCUGAGAGAAUAUUAUGAAGGCUACCUUGAUUCUGCUACCAGAUUGUCGGAUCCACAGAAUCUAGGGGAUCCACAAGAGCUGGAAAAGAUUAGGACUACUUGUGUGAAAUGGUACCUCCUAUAUUUGGUUGGAUGCUUGUUGUUUGGUGAUAAAAGCAACAAACGCAUUGAGUUGGUCUAUCUGACGACCAUGGAGGACGGCUACGCGGGGAUGCGUAAUCAUUCUUGGGGAGGGAUGACAUUAGCAUACCUAUACCACUGUCUAUCUGAGGUCUCUUUACCUGGAGGUGGAGCUCUUGAGCGAAGCGUGACACUGGUCACUGCUGUAUGAAAUUGUCACAUUGGAACCUUAACUUUAUUUUUAUUUUUGUUUUAUUUUCGUGCGUAAUAAUUUAUAAAAGUGAUUUGUUUGGUUUGUGCAGGGAUGGUUUUUGUGUCACUUGCCGGAGCGGGGUCUGAGAUAGUACGGCUAUGUUCAGACCGUUCCCAUACCUCCUACGACGAUUGAGCCUCUUGAGCCAGCGGAGGUGGUUACGGCCUUCUUGGAGUUUGCUCUCCAUGUCCAAAGCCAGCAAGAGAGGGGUGAGUCGGUCCCGGAGGACGAGGGGCAUAAGCAUUCAAAGGGGUACAUGAAAUGAUUCUACCGUGUAUCCCAUCUUCUUAUGAUCGCCCCUGCUGCCGUUCCUGAGGACCACAGUUCCUAGACCUCCCUAUGAGGAGGUUAUUGUUGAGCAGCGGUGGGCCGGACAUCCUCCCGACCCAUACCAGAUGAUCAUCCAAAAUGUCAGAGUCGUAGUUAACAGCGCUAUGGAGGGGAUUCCUGAAGUGUAUUCAAAUCUUGUUGUUGUCCGCUUUAUUGAGACCAUCCAGCACCAGUAUCGCGUGUUGGAGGAGGUGCCGACUCCGCGGAGGAGGAGGAGGACACGGAAGUAGUAGGCUCUUAAAAAAAGCAUACUGUCUCCCCACCACCACAAUGAAUAUUGCCUAAAAAUAAUUCCGAUAUAUACAUCCACCUCCACUUAUAUUGAGUUAGACCAAAUCAAAUAAUUGCAAAAAAAAAAAAGUAAUCCUAAUCCACAAUCAAUAUUACCGAUAUAUUAGGCUUUUUGAAAGUUUGAUUUGCUUUGUGACGUGUAGCUUAAUCCGUAAGCAUAUGGAAAUCUGACGUAUUUCAUUAAUAAUUGUACCCUCCCACUCACCAUUGUCUCUAACUAGUAUAAAACAUUAUAUUAUUCCCUAUGUUUUAUGCAUCAAUACAAAAAUCACACUAAGAUGGCUUCUUUUUUCUCAUACUUGCUUGUGUUUUUCUUUGCAUUUCUGAUUCUCAUCCCUCAAGGCUUUGGUAAUAAUCCUAGCCAUAAUAAACAUUUACAUCAUCCACCAUCAACAUAUGUACAUCCUACCACCUUACCCAAACCAAUUUACCCUGCCAGUACCAACAUUCCAAAAAAGCAUCCUCACCACCCUCCAAAAGAAGAUAACACUCAUUUCUAAAGUAUGAAAUGAGAGUUUUGAACUAUAUAUAUGUACUGAAUAGGUGGUCCUAGUUACCAAGCUGUUUGUUUUCUAUAGUAAUAUGUACU
rnacentral:lncRNA from 1 species